rnacentral:rRNA from 1 species
UACGAGGGGGGCAAGCGUUGUUCGGAAUUAUUGGGCGGAAAGGGCGCGUAGGCGGUUUGACAAGUCUGAUGUGAAAUCUAUGGGCUCAACCCAUAGCCUGCAUUAGAAACUGUCGGGCUUGAGUAUGGGAGAGGUGAGUGGAAUUUCCGGUGUAGCGGUGAAAUGCGUAGAUAUCGGAAGGAACACCUGUGGCGAAAGCGGCUCACUGGACCAUAACUGACGCUGAGGCGCGAAAGCUAGGGGAGCAAACAGG